rnacentral:rRNA from 1 species
AUUGAACGCUGGCGGCAUGCCUUACACAUGCAAGUCGAACGGCAGCACGGGAGCAAUCCUGGUGGCGAGUGGCGAACGGGUGAGUAAUAUAUCGGAACGUGCCCAGUCGUGGGGGAUAACGUAGCGAAAGCUACGCUAAUACCGCAUACGAUCUACGGAUGAAAGCGGGGGAUCGCAAGACCUCGCGCGAUUGGAGCGGCCGAUAUCAGAUUAGCUAGUGGUGGGGUAAAGCCCACCAAGGCGACGAUCUGUAGCUGGUCUGAGAGGACGACCAGCCACACUGGGACUGAGACACGGCCCAGACUCCUACGGGAGGCAGCAGUGGGGAAUAUUGGACAAUGGGCGCAAGCCUGAUCCAGCCAUGCCGCGUGAGUGAUGAAGGCC